rnacentral:misc_RNA from 1 species
GGAGGGGAAAAAAAAACACGUAUUCUUCUAAUUACAGAAUAUUAAGGGUACCUCUAGAUUGAUAGAUUCUCUAUAAUUAUAAAGAACAUCAAUGAUCAAUCAAUUACAGAACCAAGCCCUUCAACUACUUCAUGACAGAGAUCAAUACAACGUACUCAAAGAAGAAGAAGGAGGAGGGCAGGGCUGCGCAUGACAUGAACACAGGAUUCCAGGUACUGUUAACCUGAAAAGAAAGAAAAAAAGGCAUAAAAAAAAAAUUAAGCUAUGCGACGCAUGACAUAAGCUCGGGGAGGAGGUGGGCUGCUGCAGAUGACCAUGAGAGCGAGAGCAAUAACAAGAGCCAUCAAAAAUCCUGUGAGGUCCACACCAACACCAUCGCCUUCGCUUAUCUCCGAGCAAACGAUUUUUCCCAUCACCUUCACCUGUAACGCCUUGAUCGCAAGUACCAAUUAUUCCCUUUCUUUUUUCCCUUCCCUUCCUUUACUGAAAUAUUUACCUUAUUAUUAUUAUUAUAUGGUUAGAGUCAAGCCGACAUUGGAAAUCUCAUGUGAAAAGAAGCUUCGCUUUCCAUUUGGUCGUCUGGAAGGAAAAAUCAACACAGGAUUAUGAAAGCAAUGACAACGCCCAUGCUAUGACAUUGAGAAGAUCCAUUCUCAAUACCUUGCGUAAAAUUGAAGCUUAUUUGUCAACUUGAGAAUUGGGUUGGGCCAAACUAUGAGCCUAUGAGUUCUGUUCUACAAGGAAAAGAAACCAAAACUCUGGCCCAAGAUGAUCAGAGACUUCUAU